rnacentral:rRNA from 1 species
AUUGAACGCUGGCGGCAGGCCUAACACAUGCAAGUCGAACGAGUGGCGGACGGGUGAGUAAUGUCUGGGAAACUGCCCGAUGGAGGGGGAUAACUACUGGAAACGGUAGCUAAUACCGCAUACCAUCAGAUGUGCCCAGAUGGGAUUAGCUAGUAGGUGGGGUAAUGGCUCACCUAUGCGACGAUCCCUCGCUGGUCUGAGAGGAUGACCGUCCACACGGGAACUGAGACACGGUCCAGACUCCGACGGGAGGCAGCAGUGGGGAAGAUUGCACAAUGGGCGCAAGCCUGAUGCAGCCAUGCCGCGUGUUUGAAGAAGGCCUUCGGGGUGUAAAGCACUUUCAGCGAGGAGGCGUUACUCGCAGAAGAAGCACCGGCUAACUCCGUGCCAGCAGCCGCGGUAAUAC